CACACCUACCCCACCACCCAUGGCGGGUCUAAUUUUUGUCUCCACCCUCGCCAUACCACCCGUGGAACCUGUACCCAUCAUUGCCCAAUUGGGUGCGAAGUGGGGCGGGACCCCUUGAAACCCGCCCCACUGACGUCCCUACUUACAUGUAUCAGUCUCCAUCAACCGAGGCAUCCCUUCUUUAAACUAUACAUAGCUCUUUGCGGAGGCUAGGGGAUAAAACCCUAAUAUGAGGAAAAUACUUCCGAUUGUUGACGAUUCAGAUCAAC
rnacentral:lncRNA from 1 species